UGCCAGCCGCCGCGGUAAUACGUAGGUGGCGAGCGUUAUUCGGAUUUAUUGGGCGUAAAGGGUCCGUAGGGGGUUUGAUUAGUCUGGUGUGAAAUCCCGAGGCUCAACCUCGGAAUUGCAUCAGAAACUGUCAAGCUAGAGCAUAGGAGAGGAGAGCGGAAUUCCUGGUGUAGCGGUGGAAUGCGUAGAUAUCAGGAGGAACACCAAUGGCGAAGGCAGCUCUCAGGACUAUUGCUGACCCUGAGGGACGAAAGCUAGGGGAGCGAACAGGAUUAGAUA
rnacentral:rRNA from 1 species